rnacentral:misc_RNA from 1 species
GUGAAUCAUCAAAUUUUUGAACGCAUAUUGCACUCUCUGGUAUUCCGGAGAGUAUGCCUAUUUGAGGGUCAUUUGAAAUAAUAUAAUUUUCAAGAUUUCUCGGAAUUUAAAAUGGGUUGUUCAUUUUUUGUGGUCGCCUAAAAUCCAAGAAAAGCUUAUUUUUUUGGGUAGCGUGAUACUUUCAGUUACCUCGUGAUUUAACUAGCACUUAUUGGGUGUGUUAGGAAAUUUG